CCUACGGGAGGCAGCAGUGGGGAAUAUUGGACAAUGGGGGGAACUCUGAUCCAGCGACGCCGCGUGAGUGAAGAAGUAUUUCGGUAUGUAACGCUCUAUCAGUAGGGAAGAAAGAAAUGACGGUACCUGACUAAGAAGCCUCGGCUAUAUACGUGCCAGCAGUCGCGGUAAUACGUAGGGGGCAAGCGUUAUUCGGAUUUACUGGGUGUAAAGGGAGAGUAGACGGCGAUGCAAGUCUGAAGUGAAAGGCGGGGGCCCAACACCUGGACUGCUUUGGAAACUGUAUGGCUUGAGUGCAGGAGAGGUAAGUGGAAUUCCUAGUGUAGCGGUGAAAUGCGUAGAUAUUAGGAGGAACACCAGUGGCGAAGGCGGCUUACUGGACUGUAACUGACGUUGAGGCUCGAAAGCGUGGGGAGCAAACAGGAUUAGAUACCCCUGUAGUC
rnacentral:rRNA from 1 species